GCCUUCGUGGUGUAACUGUUAGCACACUCGGCCCGUAUUCGAGAGGUCCAGGGUUCGAGUCCCGGAGAGGGCA
rnacentral:tRNA from 1 species